rnacentral:rRNA from 1 species
GACGAACGCUGGCGGCGUGCCUAAUACAUGCAAGUUGAGCGAUGAAGAUUGGUGCUUGCUCCAAUUUGAAGAGCAGCGAACGGGUGAGUAACGCGUGGGGAAUCUGCCUUUGAGCGGGGGACAACAUUUGGAAACGAAUGCUAAUACCGCAUAACAACUUUAAACAUAAGUUUUAAGUUUGAAAGAUGCAAUUGCAUCACUCAAAGAUGAUCCCGCGUUGUAUUAGCUAGUUGGUGAGGUAAAGGCUCACCAAGGCGAUGAUACAUAGCCGACCUGAGAGGGUGAUCGGCCACACUGGGACUGAGACACGGCCCAAACUCCUACGGGAGGCAGCAGUAGGGAAUCUUCGGCAAUGGACGGAAGUCUGACCGAGCAACGCCGCGUGAGUGAAGAAGGUUUUCGGAUCGUAAAACUCUGUUGGUAGAGAAGAACGUUGGUGAGAGUGGAAAGCUCAUCAAGUGACGGUAACUAACCAGAAAGGGACGGCUAACUACGUG